AUGUAACCACAUCUAUUUGGGUCGCUGCCAAUCUAUAAACCCAAUUUGGUUUGAAUUCAACCAAUAGUUUUGCUGUUAGAGUGUUUACAAACAAGCAAACAAACUGAACCAAAAACCAAUACCCCCAGCCUCUCCUUCAGGGGUCGGGGUAAAAAUAAAUUGUAUGUCAAAAAAAAACAUUUUCUAUU